rnacentral:tRNA from 1 species
GGAUAUAGCUCAAGUGGUAGAGCACAUGCCUAGCAUGCACAAGGUCCUGGGUUCAAUUCUCAGUACCUCCU